AUACCUUUCUCGGCCUUUUGGCUAAGAUCAAGUGUAGUAUCUGUUCUUAUCAGUUUAAUAUCUGAUACGUGGGCCAUCGGCUCACAUGAUAUUAAAUUAAUUUUUUGAGGGGGAAGAUUCAUUACAGUAGCUUGCUGCUGCGGUUCUUCGCGCGUCGUUUUGGCUUUGCACUACUGCCUUGACUUGGUGCACCCCAC